CAACAUAAUUAGAUUUAGUGCACUUCAAUUUCAGGGUUUUUUUGUUUGUUUGUUUUGUUUUAUUUUGUUCUUGGAAAAGAGAAUGAAUAAAGACGGAGGGCUACAAAGGAACAAGACAGCCUUCCUCAAGGAUGCAGGUUCACGCUAAAGACUUACUCCUGUGCCCCGCCUCCCCUCCACCUGACAACCUGGGAAAGGAACUAGGAAAUGGGCCCUUGGGCCACUCUGGGAGUGGGAGCCGUUCCAAGAGCAAAGGUGGCGGAGGAUAAUCCAAGACUUGUGAUGGAGACCCCUAAGCCUUGUUGGUACUAACUUAGCUGUUGUUCAGCGCUGGGCAAGUAACCUCCUCUGAGGAUCUCACUUUGAUCUUUGUAAAAUAAAAAUGAAAUCUCCUCUAGG